AGCAUUUGUGUGUGUUUUUGUUUGACUUGUGGACAAAGAUUUAUAGACAAGUGCAAAAAAUAAAUCCUCUUUUACAACCCAGAACGUAUAUGAUACAUGUAAGCAGGAAUACC
ensembl:snoRNA